GCCAACUUAGCUCAGCUGGCAGAGCAUCGGUAUCGUAAACCGAGGGUCGGCGGUUCGAGCCCGCCAGUUGGCA
rnacentral:tRNA from 1 species